CCUGGAAAGUAUGCUAAGGGACAUGGAAAACAAGGAGGUGAUUGCUGACAGCCCUUCACUAAGGACAAAUUUUGCCUGACAAAUCUGUUUGCCUUCUAUGACAGGGUUACAGUGUCAGUGGAUAAGGGAAGAGCAACCCAUAUGUCAUCUGCCUAGACUUGCACAAAGCAUUUGACACUGCCUCACAUAACAUCUUUCUCUCUAAACAGGGAAGACAUGGAUUUGAUGGAUGGACCACUUUGUGGAUAACAAAUCAGAUGGACAGUCCUACUCCAAAAGUUGCAGUUUACAGCUUGGGGACUUUUUUUCAAAGAACUUCUCAAACAGAGUUGGUUGGCCAAAUACAGGAAUAAUUGGCUGAAAACCUCUGGAAUGCCAUCUUAAGGGACUCUAAUCACCUCAAAAAUAAAUGCAGUAUACAUUUUCAUCACUGUAUUACUCUCAGACCUAGUUGCCACUUGUAAAACAAAGGGAAGACUCAUAAAUUCUUUGGAAGGUAGACAGGACCUAAAAGCUUAAACAAGGAACAAGAUGAAGUGUGUUAAUGAUCCGUAGAUCUGUUGUUCAAUUUUUAAAUAAGUGUUCAAGAAAAUCUUGCAAGUAGUUGGAAAAAUAUAACUGACACUUCUCUCAAAUUGUCAUGGAAUGUACUCCAGCUGUAUUUAUUAUACACAUUUCCCCCAUGUGCUAUGUGCUUGCAUUCUUUUGUGAUGAAUGAUGUUGCCGUGUGUUGGAAUCUUCGUGCUAUCUUUCUUUGAAUCAGGAAUGUGCAGAGGGUUAUUUGAGAAAAAAAAACUGUGGGACUUAACCUCAUAUUUUUGAAUUUGUAGCAUGGAGUUGAGCAGUGGCUGAACAUCUUGGUUUAGGAGAGUUCACUGGAAGCAGAACACAGCCUGCUAAUGCCGCCAGAGAACUCAUGCCUUGCUGCCCGGUUUGCCAUGUCUACAAGAACUGAGGAUCAGAACUCCAUCUGCUGUUGUCUGACUUUUCAUUGGAAGCCCUUGGACAUAAAUGUCACCUUUCUGAUAAGGACCAUAGCUGGGUCAGACAUUCCCUCCACC
rnacentral:lncRNA from 1 species